rnacentral:rRNA from 1 species
CGCAUCUGUGCAUGCAGCAUAUCAAUAAGCGGAGGAAAAGAAACUAACAAGGAUUCCCCUAGUAACGGCGAGUGAAGCGGGAAGAGCUCAAAUUUGAAAUCUUAAAGGGUUUCCCUUUACGAAAUUGUAGUUUAAAGAAGUGUUUUCUGUUGAGGUUUUGGUAAAAGUUCUUUGGAAUAGGACAUCAUAGAGGGUGAGAAUCCCGUAUUUGACCUUUACUUUCAACUUUGUGAUACACUUUCAAAGAGUCGGAUUGUUUGGGAAUGCAGUCCAAAAUGGGUGGUAAAUUUCAUCUAAAGCUAAAUAUUGGCGAGAGACCGAUAGCGAACAAGUACCGUGAGGGAAAGAUGAAAAGAACUUUGAAAAGAGAGUUAAACAGUACGUGAAAUUGUCAAAAGGGAAGCGUUUGACACCAGUGCCUGUUUUUCUGAAAAUCAAUUAAAGAACUGUUUAUGCUAAGCUUGUUUAGACUUUAUCAGCUAACUGUUUAGUUUUGAGCUUUUCUUUAAUGCACUUUUCAGUUAACAAGUCAACAUCAAUUUCUUUUGCUGUAAAAAAGCUUGAGGAAGGUGGCUUGAGAUUCGUCUUAAGUGUUUAUAGCCUCUUGCCUAUGCAGUCGGAGAGAUUGAGGUCUGCAGCGUAGAUCCUUCGGGGCUAAAUGCAUUUGUGCUAAGUUAUAACAUUUUAUAGACAACUUGUUGACUAUGAUUUGUCUUGUAGCUUACUCGCUUAUGUUAUUUUACCUACGCUUAGGAUGUUGAACGCGCACAGAGUCUC